rnacentral:rRNA from 1 species
ACAAGCGGUGGAGCAUGUGGUUUAAUUCGAUGCAACGCGAAGAACCUUACCUGGGCUUGACAUCCCUGGAAUCCCCUGGAAACAGGGGAGUGCCCUUCGGGGAGCCAGGAGACAGGUGCUGCAUGGCUGUCGUCAGCUCGUGUCGUGAGAUGUUGGGUUAAGUCCCGCAACGAGCGCAACCCUUGUCUUUAAUUGCCAUCAUUCAGUUGGGCACUUUAAAGAGACUGCCGGUAAUAAACCGGAGGAAGGUGGGGAUGACGUCAAAUCAUCAUGCCCCUUAUGACCUGGGCUACACACGUGCUACAAUGGUUGGUACAACGAGUUGCGAGUCGGUGACGGCGAGCUAAUCUCUUAAAGCCAAUCUCAGUUCGGAUUGUAGGCUGCAACUCGCCUACAUGAAGUCGGAAUCGCUAGUAAUCGCGGAUCAGCACGCCGCGGUGAAUACGUUCCCGGGCCUU